ACGCACGCUGGCGGCGUGCCUAAUACAUGCAAGUAGAACGCUGAAGGAGGAGCUUGCUUCUCUGGAUGAGUUGCGAACGGGUGAGUAACGCGUAGGUAACCUGCCUGGUAGUGGGGGAUAACUAUUGGAAACGAUAGCUAAUACCGCAUAAUAGCAGUUGUUGCAUGAUAACUGUUUGAAAGGUGCAAUUGCACCGCUACCAGAUGGACCUGCGUUGUAUUAGCUAGUUGGUGGGGUAACGGCUCACCAAGGCGACGAUACAUAGCCGACCUGAGAGGGUGAUCGGCCACACUGGGACUGAGACACGGCCCAGACUCCUACGGGAGGCAGCAGUAGGGAAUCUUCGGCAAUGGACGGAAGUCUGACCGAGCAACGCCGCGUGAGUGAAGAAGGGUUUCGGAUCGUAAAGCUCUGUUGUAAGAGAAGAACGAGUGUGAGAGUGGAAAGUUCACACUGUGACGGUAUCUUACCAGAAAGGGACGGCUAACUACGUG
rnacentral:rRNA from 1 species